rnacentral:rRNA from 1 species
UACGUAGGGUGCAAGCGUUAAUCGGAAUUACUGGGCGUAAAGCGUGCGCAGGCGGUUUUGUAAGUCAGCUGUGAAAUCCCCGGGCUUAACCUGGGAAUGGCAGUUGAGACUGCAAGGCUGGAGUGUGUCAGAGGGGGGUAGAAUUCCACGUGUAGCAGUGAAAUGCGUAGAGAUGUGGAGGAACACCGAUGGCGAAGGCAGCCCCCUGGGAUAACACUGACGCUGAGGCGCGAAAGCGUGGGGAGCAAACAGG